CUGAAACGAUGCUUUCUAUAAGGUGGCAAUUUCAGGCAGUUGUGAAAUCAGUGGAGGCCAUUAAGGGGUACCUUUUUUUUUUCUGAAUAAGGAGAAGCCUCUCUGGUUCACAGCCCAAGAAAGUUUCAUAAGGGGUAGAAGACACAAAUAAAAGUUCAGGAGGGAUUCUGAUGAUCCACAACCAUGAUUUCGAUUAGAUUCCUACAAGCUUCCAGAAGUUUUCACCUGAUAUGACCUCCGGUAGCACUUGGGUCUUUAUAACGGGAAUGUUCAAACUUCAUGUUAGUGUUCUGAUACGGCACUCCACUGGGCAGCGAAGCACGGCAAUCUUGAGAUGGCAGAGAUGGUCGCCAAAGCAGGCGUCGAUGUCAAUGCUAAAUCGCAUGGGGUAAGUAAUACUUUAAUACACCUAUGAAAUGAGUCUGCCUUUUUCAUGAAUAUUCUGAAAGCAAGCUGUCACUGCAGUCAAUUGAUAUUCCUACGCUUCAUUGCAGAGAGGAGUGAACUUUUUAUGAC